AAUCUUGAUGCAGGUCAAACCUGCACCCGCCUUCGGCGCCCGCUCGUGGCGCCAUUGAUUUCGGUCAAUUUUCCCUCCCGGCACAUUCGCUACUGUUCACUCAUCGGACAGGCACAGGCAAAUGGAGGCCGACAUGUUCUUCGAUAAUGUGGUUGUCGCUGGCGUCGUCACGGUCGGAUUGAUGUUUGUUUUCUUCGCCGGUUUUGGACUUUUCAUCUGGAAGGACUCGCAGAAGCGCAAAGACCGCUGAUCCUUCCCGAUACAACGAGCACGCAAGGCAUUUAGGGCGACUUCGGUCGCCCAUU
rnacentral:misc_RNA from 1 species